GCCGGGUGUGGUGACUUACACCUGUCAUCCCAGCGGCUCGGGAGGCUGAGGCAGGAGGCUCUCGAGUUCAAACCAAGCCUUAGCAAAAGUGAGGCGCUAAGCAACUCAGUGAGACCCUGUCUCUA
rnacentral:sRNA from 1 species